UAUUCUGUCAUUAUUUCCUCAACUUCAUGUUAUUCCAAAAAAAAAAAAAGAAAUCUUUUAGUUGUAGAACACAAAAGAAGAUGCUUUGAACAGUGUCUGUUCCGCUCUUUUUCUGAUCUAUGAAAGUUCAUGGAGAUAAACUGGAAAAGGGCAGCUUGGAUUUCUUUAGAAUAUCUCCAUAUACAAAAGGUGGAAUAAUGAUGGCAGAAUUUUAAUUCUUGUUGUAGCUACUAUCCAGGCACACUUACAGUCAUAGUGACGCACAUUUAGUAAACACCUAUAUCUCCAGUACAACAGGUGACUUGUGUUUUUCCUGGACAUCCCAGCGCCCAUCGUUGGGAGCUGAAUUUGUGUAUUAAACCCUGUAAAAAGUGAAUUAUCAUGAAGUCUAGUAGAGUUUUGCCUCGUUUUUAAGUGUAUUUUGGAUGUGAACAUGUUUUCAUUGGUCUUCAUUGUCUACCUGAGGAUCCACUUCUCCUCGAACACAGCUGCCAAAACUAACUCUUAUGAACUUUGUGCCUCAUUUCCUUCAUAUUUGAUAAGGCGUCCUGUUAUCAUUUCCUGUCAUUUGUUGUUUUGCAUCUUCUUGGUGAGCAUAACUUUUGGGAAGUUCCUUAUAUGCUUUUUUUUAAGUCUGGCAGUUUUAGUUCUUUUAUUUGUGUUGGCUGUUAGAAAGAAAUUCUUCUGAAUGUGAUGCAAUGAUGAGAUUAAUUGUAAUUUUAUUGAUUUGACACACCCUUUUUUCUCCCCUGCUGGAAAAAGUUUUAAAAUUAAAAGAACAAUCUGCA